rnacentral:rRNA from 1 species
GAUGAACGCUAGCGGGAGGCCUAACACAUGCAAGCCGAGCGGUAUAGAUCUUUCGGGAUCUAGAGAGCGGCGUACGGGUGCGGAACACGUGUGCAACCUGCCUUUAUCUGGGGGAUAGCCUUUCGAAAGGGAGAUUAAUACCCCAUAAUAUAUCAGAUGGCAUCAUUUGAUAUUGAAAACUCCGGUGGAUAGAGAUGGGCACGCGCAAGAUUAGAUAGUUGGUGAGGUAACGGCUCACCAAGUCUACGAUCUUUAGGGGGCCUGAGAGGGUGAUCCCCCACACUGGUACUGAGACACGGACCAGACUCCUACGGGAGGCAGCAGUGAGGAAUAUUGGACAAUGGGUGAGAGCCUGAUCCAGCCAUCCCGCGUGAAGGACGACGGCCCUAUGGGUUGUAAACUUCUUUUGUAUAGGGAUAAACCUACCCUCGUGAGGGUAGCUGAAGGUACUAUACGAAUAAGCAC